UUGAAGGCUCCCGGGCUCCCUCCCGCAGGGGCAGGAGCUCCUUGCCGGCUCCGGUUCUGGUCGGAGCCCCCAUCUCCGGAGCCCAGCCUGCCGGCCACUGCCUCCCCAAAGCGAGCCAUCCUGGAAGAAAACACACAGGCAGCCCAGAAAGCGCUGGAGUCACCAAGCCUGGGAGGAUUUGAAAGACAUGUGGCACUUGGGGACACGGCUGAGUGGUGGCCUCGGCAGCGCUGGGUUGAUGGCUGGACUCGCAGGUCUGAACUUGCACUGAGCAGCUGAUGCUCAAGACAGCCAGAGAAGCCCCAUCCCUGGCGUGCAGCCAGGAAGGAGAUGCUGCUUCCCUCUCCCAAACCUGUGAAAGAGAAAAGGCCACGGAGCAAAACCUCUCUCUGAGAGCUCCUCAGUGCUGGGAGGUGUGAAAAAACGUCCCCCUUGCUGCAGUGACAGGCAGGCAGCUCAGCAGCCUCCCUGAAGGCAAACACCCUCAGCAGCCAAGGCUGAACACGGCUCCGAGACUCCUCAAUGGGGAAAAAAAAAAAAAGUUCAUUGAGGAAUUUUUAGGCUUAAUUCCAUCAGGGAAAAUGCAAGGGAAAGGAAGUUACAGCAUAUCAGGUGCUGUCUCACGAGUUGUGGAGGGGUGAGGGGGAAAAGUAACUCCUGUGAGGCUCCUCUGGUGCCAAAUGAAGGAGUUGGGAUUUGUAGCAGAGCUUGUGGAGAUGUCACAGGUUCCAUCACAGCAUCACCCACCAUGGUGGGGCGUUCUGAGCUGCCAGGAAAGCUCCUUCCCACCAAAAAAGCUGGUUGGCAUCACCCAGGGAAGAUGGGACAACACCAGCUGGGAUUUCAGGUGGGUUUUGGGAAGGACAAUGUCCCACUGACCUCCUUCCCCACGGCUGGGAUAAGCACCAGAACAUUUGAAAGCUGCUUUAGUACAAAUCCAGGAACCUUCCUGAAGCUUUAAAGAAUCAUGGAAGGGUUUGUGUUGCAAGGAACCUUAAAGAUCAUCCCAUUCCAACCCUUUCCAUGGGCAGGGACACCUUCCACCAGACCACACUGCUCCAAGCCCCAUCCAGCCUGGCUUCCAGGGAUGGGACAUCCACAACUUCUCUGAGCAACCUGUGCCAGGGCCUCCCCACCCUCAGUCGAGAAAAUGCCAUUUUAGGAGUGCCCAGUGAAUGAUCAGUAUUUUUAAAUUGAUCAUUUGAGUUAAAUGAAAAAUAAGUGAUCGUCUGAUCAAACUAGAUACCUGCUGAGGUCCCUGAAUUAAUCUAUUACACUGUCAUCCCUGAAAUUCAAACAGUGGGUGAGGGUGGGAGGGGCAAGGCAGGUACUACACUCAUUGAAAUUGAGAGUAAAUAACAUUAACCCUACAAACUGGAGAGGCUGGAAAACACCUCUGUCACAAACAGCAGCCACCCUCCCCUCAGAAUCACACAGGGACAGCUGGGGGCUGCCGGGGAGAGGGGAAGAGGAUGAAUUAUUCCAGGGGAGGGAAAGGACGAGGAUGCAAACGAGCAGGAAAUGUCAGAAGUUUGGGUGCUGCACCGAUCACGCUCUGCCAGGGCAGGGAGAUGCUGAAAAGCAGGCAGUGCUGAAGGAGAGGGCUGUGCUGCCAUCCAGAGGGACUCAGCAGCCUGGAGGAACAGCAGAGGAGCAGCGUGGAGCUGGAAACACCAAACGCUGCACUUGGGGAAGAACGAACCCAUCCGUGCUGGCUGGGAAGGGCUGGGCAGGGAGAGCCCCGCAGAAUUCACAGAAUCCCAGAAUCACUGGAUUGGAAGAGACCUUCAAGAUCAUCGAGUCCAACCCAGCCCCAACCCCUCAGCUAAACCCUGGCCCCCAGUGCCACAUGCAGGCUUUGUUAAACACACCCAGGGAUGGUGACUGCACCACCUCCCCGGGCAGCCAUCCCAGAACUUUAUCCCCCUUUCUGUGAAAAACUUCUUCCUAAUAUCCAGCCUGUAUUUCCCUUGGAGCAGCUUGAGGCUGUGUGCUCUGGUUGUGUCAGUGCUGCCUGGAGACAGAGCCCAGCCCCAGCUGAGCACAGGCACCUUUCAGGAGUGAUGAUGGCACCCCUAAGUCUCUUUUUCUCCAGGCUGAGCACCCCCAGCUCCCAGGUUUGUGUUUCCAGCCCCUCUCCAGCCUCGUUGCCUCCUCUGGAUGUGCUCAAGCAUCUCAACAUCCUUCCCAAACCGAGGGGCCAGGACUGGCACAGCACUCAGGGUGUGCCCUCACCACUGCCAAGGACAGGACCCAAGGGACCUGGUGGCCACCAGCACUGUGCUCUUAAAAAAAUUGGCCAGCAGCCCCCUGGGAUGUGUAGGCAAAGCCAGUGGGUCGAGGAGGUGGCCUGUCCCCUUCCUUUAGCCCUGGUGACACAUGCAGAGUGCUGUGCCCCACAGGACAGGGGACAUGGGCUACUGGAGCAGCUCCAGCCAAGGUGAUGAAAGGACAGGAGCUGGCAGGGCUGGGGCUGCUCAGCCUGGCUGGAAGAGGCUCACAGAGGAUCUGAUCCAUGCACAGAGCACCUGGCAGGGGGGGAGAGGCAGAGCUCCUGUCUGCAGCACCCAGGGGUUGGACUUCAGUCACGCCAGAGCUGCCCCAGCCCUAUUGCCCAGCCCUCCCAAAGCCCUGGGGUCAAGGCAACAGGCACAAAAUGCAAUAAAACAAUGCCUGGACAGAGGAAUACACUUUUUCACUGUGAGGGCAACUAAAUAUUUGGGACAAGCUACCCAAGCUACCCCAUGGACUCUCCAUGUUUGGAGAUGCUCAGAACCCACCUGGACAUGCUGCUGGGAGAAAUUUGGAGGACUGUGGAGCCUGCUCUAGGUGACCCUGCCUGGGGCUCUUUGCCACUCACUGCCUCACAAUAAUUCUGUUUCUGAGCCAUGGCCAGCCCCAGGCCAAGAGGGAAGCUCCUUCCAAAGGCUGGCUCCUGGAAAGCACAGACCACAGCCUGAACACUGCUCCAAGAGGAGCUAACAAAGCUUCCCAACACCUGCAGCUGGGAUUCCAGUGAGGGAAGCAGGAACUGCCAGGAUGCAGUGGCAAAACACAAGGCAGCAGCUCCUGAGUGGAGGCAUCUCCUGGGAACCACCUGAGGAGCUCCCUGGAACCACUUCUGAGCCUGCAUUAUUUCUGAAUAAACACAAGAACAAUCAACCUUAACAGAAAUCAAUCUUAAUGGGAAAAUGCUCUUAAUUAACUCAAUGGAAUAAUACUACCUAACACUACAAUGAAAAUAACAACAUGAGAAAUUUACUGGAGAAACUAAAAAGGGUAUAAAAAGCAUAUUAUGGUUUUAGGAGAUUCUGUUUUGCUUGCAACCACUCGUGGCUUCAUCAAAAACAAAGCAAUCAUUGUGUUCUCUUUUGUCCAUAUUGGUCCAUAUUAGUCUAAAACUUUUUCCAUUCCAUAUUUAAUGAUUUUGUUCUGCUGGCAGGACUCCUGUCUCCCCCACUCUGCAGAAAUAAUAAUUAAUGCCUCCUGGGGGGCAUCUCCUGGGAACCACCUUGUCCUUCCAUGCUCAGCUCCUGAGGAGCUCCCUGGAACCUCCUCUGAGCCUGCAGUGGCUCAGCCACACGGGAAGGCUCAGCCUGUCCCACCCCUCUGGCAGCCCUCGGGAGGCUCUGCAGUCCCUGGAAUUAACUCAGGGAAUUCCUGCAGGGUGUGCCAGAAACCCAGGCGUUGAGGAAAUUGGGUGAAGGAUGCUGCUAUUUCCAUGCUGUUGCCAGGAUAUUCAGUGGAACUCGAGCUCGUGCCAAACUCCUGCCCAGGAUGCCAACCUUGGUCUGCACUGGAGGAAGCAGGGGCAGCACAGGCAGGUUCAGGGCAGGUUCCUUUUGGAGAGAUGUUUCUCUGCUGCUCAAGGCAAGGAGCCAUGGCAAAAGGCACAUUUCAGGGCACUCAUUUCCAGGUUUAGCACGCCCAGAGUCCUUCCCACUGCCUGCACUGCUCCUCGUGCAGGGUGAAACAUAAACAGGCAGAGCCCCGUUAACAAAGAGACAGUCGUUAGGCUCAGAGAAGUUAAUUGCUUUGCAGGGUGUUGUAGAAGACUUGGAAGCAUGGGUGGAUGCACAGGAAGGAUGCUCCCAGGUAUGGAAUUCCCAGCAUCACCUGCCACCGAGGUCUCAGGGCUGCAGAGCCCCCAGAGCUCCUGCCUGAGCUGCCCCAACCUCAUUUCCCAGCCCUCCCAAAGCCCUGGGGUGAUGGCAACAGACAUCUGAAGAGGAGCCCGUGGUGGGGAAGGACAGACCCAGAGGGUGCUGUGUUGGAACCCUGGCUGCUGAGAAUUUUAGAUUUUCUGUGCUGACAGGCACUGACCCCCAAGAGAACACUGCAUUGACCUGAGGCCGUAGAGAAGGCUUCCAAAAUUGAAUUAUAGAACUAAGAUUAUAGAUGUGUAGUUUAAAUAGAAGUGUGUAAUAUCACACAGUGGAAAACUUACAGUUUAAGGUUUUAGAAUAUAGUAAUAUCUAUAAAGCAGGAUGGAGGUUUUAGGGCCAUGGUUGGUUCUUCUUCUUCACCUUCUUCUCCAUGGGUCUGGGUGGUUUUGUGUAAUUGGAUAAAAAAGUCCACAUUGCAGGCCAUGGGUGGUUGGUUAUUGGUUUAAAACUAAAACUAAUUUAAGUGUCAUUUCUUAAUUGGACAGUUUAUCCUUAAAAGGCCUUGUAGAGAGAGAGAGACAGGGCUCCAUUUUUACCUUGUUAAAGUACUGUAGAACUCACAGUUUGUGAGACUGUAACAUAGAUAAGAACUAAUAAACGUCUGAGCCUGAACAAGAAAUACCAUCUCAUGCAUGUAAUCCCAACCUUGGCAGAAAAAAGAAGAAAAAGAAUCGACAGUGCUGGGGAAUAUGCUGGGAGACAGCGAUGGAACUGGCAGCCCAGCACACACCAAAAGGGCCCUUUGUCUCAUUCAGCACCCGUAAAAAGAAUUUAAAAAAAAAAAAAAAGGGGGGAAAAAACCCUCAGCUUCAUUUGUAAUCUGGGAUGCAGAGCGUGCACAUAACCAGACAGAG